UCCAGCAAUGCAUUUUUUGUUUAGCUCACCUGCCUACCACCACUGAUAAGACAAAUCACGGAUCAAAACAGCGCUGUCUGGUAUAUGAUCAAAGAUGCAUUGUGACUGGGCUCCGGUUUUCAACUAGAUGUCUUGCAGUGAAAACUCUAGUGAAAGACAGGACGAAUCUCGUCGGCGAUCGAUGUCGAAGCUUGGCUUUGCAACUGACCGCCUUGGGGAGCCUCGGUUAUCUUUGACAUUCGAGAAUUGAGUUCCCUGUGUCAAUCCCAUAGAUGACGUUUUCGUAAGGGGAGGUUUCGUCGCCUUUGUUUUCUCAGGCUUUAAGGACAAUCAAGUACAGUAAUGCAUUUGUGAUUUAGCCUAGCACCACUAAUAAGACCUAUGGCGGGCCGGAACAGCGCUGACUGGUGUAGGAUCAAAAGUGCAUUGUGUUUGAGCUCGUAUUUCAACAAGAAUAAUCCACUCCAAAAUUGAGAUAUUUUCCUCAAUCUAGCGGGAAACUAAUCAGCGGACAGUCUUCAUCAGGUAUAUAAGCAACACAUAUUUGUGGCUUGAUGAAACAAUAACCUCAUAUGAGGGCAUUUGUAGGUCAGCUAUACAUAAAGAUAAAUUAAAUUCAGCCGUGUAGGGCUUUCAAGCCUCUGGUUAAGGUCAAUCAUUGUUUAAGAUUUGCUAACCUGCUCAACUUUAUCUCCUGAUGUAAAUUCCACUGCUCAAGAAUUUAGUGCAAGGAAGUUACAUAAGACGACCUACUCUUGAGGAGGCAAUAAGUUAUUUCCUGGCUGUAUCUCUUAGCCUCCUGGGUCUGUUGCAAGGAACAGAAGUGGAAACUGAGGAUCUCUUGCUCCGAUAUUAGAGGAAGGACAGUUGGGGACGUUUAGUCGACAUCAAACCCUUUAUAGAGAGAAAGAGUCAGCAUCAGACCCUUUGAUCACUUCAUGAUCCAUUGUGAGUAUCUUGGGAAAGGAGGUCUACGCAGAGCCCUGCAUAACCAUGACAAGGCUUCCUACCAUGAGAAGACACCCGGUAUUUCGAAGGCUGUGUUAGUGGCACUGAUUGGGCCAUACAUCCUUCCAGCACGGAUACACAUACUUCAAGAUGAGGCCAUCAUUCACGAUGACUCUUACAUCCACAGGUGACACCUGACCCAGCAGUGGUAUAACAGUACUACAAAUCCAGAUUUUCUGUAAAACUGAAAAAAAUUCCAAUGAAAACAUUUUUCCAUAGCCUAUUAUUACUACAAGCUACAGAGCCGACUCUUCAUAUUUUCUUUAACAUGGGUAUAUUAUUCACUUACGUUUCCUGCAUGUAUAUAAAUCCAGUAUAUUUUAUUAAUGCAAAAGUACCUCUUGAUUGCCAUUUGGUAACAUUCAUCUCUACCAGCUUCUGGAAAACAACUACUUUUUUUGAUAAUACCCCAUCAGAAACUGUAUUACACCAAAAGUAUUUCAGUAGAUUCUCGUCAAGUAGUAGAACAGGCUGGAAUUACUUGAGUGAUCAACGAAUGUUGUGUUAAUCCUCACCAGUGCAUGUCAGAUCAAACAAAAAUAGCAGUUCAACUGAAUGAUGUGAAGUUCUAUUUCGUGGAACUGGUGCUCAAGAAAAUCAUUAUUUUGAAAUAAACCUGAAACAUUUAUGUCUCCUAGCUUUACUGAAAUGUAAAACUUGACACGUGUUUCACCAACCAGUAUACUUCAUUCAGGAGAUAAAAUAGACUAGUCUACUUGGUUGGUGAGACGUGCGUCAAGACGAGCAUUGCAGUUCUGGUGUUUGAGAGCACUGCUUGGUUUGGAUUUCUCAUAUUUCUUACUUGGUAUAAUUCAACAGAUUCCUGCUGCAGAACUAUUAAUUCCCUGGCCAAUACCAAGACAGGUACUGGAUUACAUCCAACAAACGUGUUACUAGGCAGGAAAGUGGUUUUCCACCAGCUGUUGCUUCCCUACAAACGACGACUUUCAAAAGUCAAAACUUUUGCGAGCUAAGGACUAACAAGGUCUUACCUUUUAACAUGUGAUUCCUAACACGGGUUGGAUGGUAGGAAUAGAAAAACGAUCGUCCGGCCUUGCGGUUCGAACCACCCGUUCACACAGCAGUCGAUUGAGUGAUUGUAGCAAACCACCCACAUCAACCCACCAGGCUAUCGUCCUACCAUGAAUCUCAUAAAAGUUAUUCGACUAUCUACUUCAUCAUAAUUUUCUUUUAUUUAGAACUUUACUGUGUAAAGAGAGGAAACUUUUCAAACCCCUCAUUUUAUUGUUAUGAUUCUAAAACAUAUUAAUAUGAUAAAUACAAUAUUUUGGUGAAAAACGUGUAUUGAAUUAAUAUGUUACUUGAAUGCGAUGUUCGCUGUGUAAUUUAUUCCACUGUUUCUACAAUAUCAACACAAGGUAAAUUCCACUUGUACUUGUCCAUCAACAACUGAUAGACUUCUGGCGAUGUCUUGUGGAUGGUAGCAAAAAAAUCAACAUCUUCCUCAGAUAGAUCGCAUUUACUAUUCAAAUUCAAUGUCAGAAUAGUGAAAAAAGAUGGAGGCAACUGAUCCUUAAGACUAUUCAGAAUUGUGCUAUUAUCCACCUUGGACUCUGACAGCGUUUUCUGUCUCAACAUCUUUUUUAUUGUAGCGAUGUCUCUGCUAUGUUGUUUGAUUUUACGAAGAUAAUUUCGCCCAAGGGUGGGCUUCUCCACAACAUUUUUCAUCACUAGGUUUCUCAUACUUGGACGGUGUCCCGUUUUUUUCUGUAGUUCGCUCAUUCCUGUUAGUUGCUCCUGAUUCUGAGUGUCAUACUCUUCCUCUACUUGGAUCCUUUGAAUACCGUUCCUAUGAACUCUGUUUGAAGAUUCAUUAAAAUCAGGAAGUUCUUUCUUUAUUGGAAGUGAGCAUCUUGGACUUCCUUCCAUUGGGAUAUCACCUCUCAAUUUCAUGUUAUAAUUUUCUCGAAGAGAACUGGAGGCUCUACUUGUGGACGGCUUUGCCACUAGCUGCUCUUGUUUGAUUUCAGGUUUGGGAACAGAGCUUGAAGGAACAAUCAUUCCAUUUUUAUAAAUAUAAGAUUCCACUUUCUGAGAUCGACUGAACAUGUUAUCUGUAUCCAAUACAAACAAAGUUCCAUCUGAACUUGCCGGUAACACUUGAAUAUCUUGCAAAUGGGAAGAUAUGAACAUUGGUGCCUCUUCAGGUUCAUCGUCACAUCCUAAAGUGGGAAUAGCACUUUGCAGUAAACGCUUUUUUUGGCUAUUUGGAAACCAUUUAUCUUCAAAAUGGAUUUCACAUAUAACUUUAUUUCGAAGUUGAUCUUCUUCUAAAUCACAGAAUUGUGGCUUUUGAGCAUUUUCAAUCCAAAUUUUACAUCUCUCUUUAUGUUUGACAGGAUAGUGAAAAAAA